UACGUAGGGUGCGAGCGUUGUCCGGAAUUAUUGGGCGUAAAGGGCUCGUAGGCGGUUUGUCACGUCGGGAGUGAAAACUCGGGGCUUAACUCCGUGCCUGCUUCCGAUACGGGCUGACUAGAGGUAUGCAGGGGAGAACGGAAUUCCUGGUGUAGCGGUGAAAUGCGCAGAUAUCAGGAGGAACACCGGUGGCGAAGGCGGUUCUCUGGGCAUGUCCUGACGCUGAGGAGCGAAAGUGUGGGGAGCGAACGGG
rnacentral:rRNA from 1 species